UGGGGAAUAUUGCACAAUGGGCGCAAGCCUGAUGCAGCCAUGCCGCGUGUGUGAAGAAGGCCUUCGGGUUGUAAAGCACUUUCAGCGAGGAGGAAGGGUUCAGUGUUAAUAGCACUGUUCAUUGACGUUACUCGCAGAAGAAGCACCGGCUAACUCCGUGCCAGCAGCCGCGGUAAUACGGAGGGUGCAAGCGUUAAUCGGAAUUACUGGGCGUAAAGCGCACGCAGGCGGUUUGUUAAGUCAGAUGUGAAAUCCCCGCGCUUAACGUGGAACUGCAUUGAAACUGGCAAGCUAGAGUCUUGUAGAGGGGGGUAGAAUUCCAGGUGUAGCGGUGAAAUGCGUAGAGAUCUGGAGGAAUACCGGUGGCGAAGGCGGCCCCCUGGACAAAGACUGACGCUCAGGUGCGAAAGCGUGGGGAGCAAAACAGGAUUAGAUACCCUGGUA
rnacentral:rRNA from 1 species